rnacentral:rRNA from 1 species
AGCAGCCGCGGUAAUUCCAGCUCCAAUAGCGUAUAUUAAAGUUGUUGCAGUUAAAAAGCUCGUAGUUGAAUUUCGGGAUCAGUAGGUCGGUCAUGCCUCUGGUAUGUACUGGUCUCACUGGUUCCUCCUUCCUGAUGAACCGUAAUACCAUUAAUUUGGUGUUGCGGGGAAACCGGACUGUUACUUUAGAAAAAAUUAGAGUGUUUAAAGCAGGCUAACGCUUGAAUACAUUAGCAUGGAAUAAUGAAAUAGGACGAUCGAUCCUAUUUUGUUGGUUUCUAGGAUUGACGUAAUGAUUAAUAGGGAUAGUUGGGGGCAUUAGUAUUCAAUUGUCAGAGGUGAAAUUCUUGGAUUUAUUGAAGACUAACUACUGCGAAAGCAAUUUGCCUAAGGAUGUUUUCAUUAAUCAAGAACGAAAGUUAGGGGAUCGAAGACGAUCAGAUACCGUCGUAGUCUUAACCAUAAACUAUGCCGACUAGGGAUCGGAUGAUGUUAAUUUUAUAAUUGAACUCAUUCGGCG